UACGUAGGGGGCGAGCGUUCUCCGGAAUUAUUGGGCGUAAAGGGCGCGUAGGCGGUCCUGUACGUGUUGGGUGACAAUUCCUGGCUCAACCAGGAGAGGUCCCAAUAGACGGCAGGUCUUGAGAGCGAGAGAGGGACAUGGAAUUCCAGGUGGAGCGGUGAAAUGCGUAGAGAUCUGGAAGAACACCGAAGGCGAAGGCAAUGUCCUGGCUCGUUUCUGACGCUGAGGCGCGAAAGCCAGGGGAG
rnacentral:rRNA from 1 species